rnacentral:rRNA from 1 species
AUUGAACGCUGGCGGCAGGCUUAACACAUGCAAGUCGAGCGGGGGAGGUUGCUUCGGUAACUGACCUAGCGGCGGACGGGUGAGUAAUACUUAGGAAUCUGCCUAUUAAUGGGGGGCAACAUCUCGAAAGGGAUGCUAAUACCGCAUACGCCCUACGGGGGAAAGCAGGGGAUCACUUGUGACCUUGCGUUAAUAGAUGAGCCUAAGUCGGAUUAGCUAGUUGGUGGGGUAAAGGCCUACCAAGGCGACGAUCUGUAGCGGGUCUGAGAGGAUGAUCCGCCACACUGGGACUGAGACACGGCCCAGACUCCUACGGGAGGCAGCAGUGGGGAAUAUUGCACAAUGGGCGCAAGCCUGAUGCAGCCAUGCCGCGUGUAUGAAGAAGGCCUUAGGGUUGUAAAGUCUUUUGUCAGGGAAGAAAGGAAUUUGUUAAUACCAGAUUUUGCUGACGGUACCUGAAGAAUAAGCACCGGCUAACUACGUGCCA